UUUAUGUAUCAUAUCAUAUAUUAUUAUAUAGGUAGUGAACAAUCUGUUCGGGUCAGGUUAAGAUGCAGUGACUGUUCCUCAACCCUUGCAGUUUGGCAGGGUCGUUGUCUGGGGAGCAUCUGGGAUAGACUCCAGGAAACAGACAUUUACAUUUACUUUUAGCAGUAAAAUUGAUCAUUGCUUAUGAGAGAAGUACAGAGAGUAGAUGGGUUCGUGUGAGGUGGGGUGAAAGAGUUUGCGUAAACUGGGUUUGCAGAAUCCGUGUUCGCAGAAUCUGUUGUUGUUAACAAUGUUUAUCCAAGCUGUUCCUAAGGAAAUAUUCAAAAUGUCACGCCGACCUGGGAAAGGAACUGGGAGGUUGAUGGUGGGCCAGAUGCAGCUGGAGCUGGACAGAUAACACGGCCCAGCGCCAGGACUUUCCAAGUAGCCGAGAAAAACAUCUACACGUCCUUAUUUGGACAUGUGGAAAGAUUUUAGGUGGUGGUUAAAAGCAGGCCUGCACAGGCUGGGGUUUUCAGAGCGCUUCGCAGAGGGUCCGCUGGUAGCACACAGCGGACCUUUUCCGACCUCUCGGUUCUCUCUGCAGAGGAACAAGCAGACUUCAAAGUUGAGUUCUUGUGAAAUCUCUGUCGUGGUUGAAGAAAAAAGAAAAUACACGACAGAAAUUGGCGUCACUCCAAGCAGGCAGGAAAAGCUGGGUCUGAAGCCGACAGGUGCCCGACUGCACCCAGCCGAGACGACUCGUCACUGGUGGCCACAGGUGAGAUGCGCUUAAAUCUCUUACAUGACGAUUCUCUCUGUUGGGGGCAGUGUGGGCAAAUGUUGGUUACAUUAGAAGAUUCUAAAUUCUGAUUCGGCUAUUUCUAGAAAACAAUCUGUGUGGGAAUAAGCAGAGAGAGGCAGUGGAGAAUUUGCUUGUAUAAUUUGCUGUAUAUAAAUAUAACUAACCAACUGCUUUAUUUGUGUGCUGUGCUUUGCUCUCAUUGUGGGGAAAUAAAAAAUGACAUGGCCUAUUGACCUCUAGACGU
rnacentral:lncRNA from 1 species